rnacentral:lncRNA from 1 species
UUUCUUAUAACCUAUCUUAGUUUUAGGACAAGGCUUUAGGAUUUAAGAUAAAGCCUUAUCUAAUCUUAAUAAGAGUUGUGAGGGUCUUAAAGAAGGAAAGUCAGAAGUCCAAAGAAAGGUCUAAGAGGAUCGAGUCAGGUUCUUAGAGAAAUUUGACCGAUACAGGGCUAGUCGAGUUUUAGGGACUAGAACUCUUGAAGCA